UUGGAGGGCAAGUCUGGUGCCAGCAGCCGCGGUAAUUCCAGCUCCGAUAGCGUAUAUUAAAGUUGUUGCAGUUAAAAAGCUCGUAGUUGAAUUUCGGGAUUGACGUGAUGGUCAUGCCUUAAGGGGUAUGAACUGUCACUGUUGAUUCCUCACCUUCUGGAGAAACUUGAUGUCCUUUAUUGGGUGUCUUGCGGAUCCAGGACCUUUACCUUGAAAAAAUUAGAGUGUUUAAAGCAGGCAUUUUUGCUCGAAUACAUUAGCAUGGAAUAAUAGAAUAGGGCGGCAUGGUCCUAUUUUGUUGGUUUCUAGGAUCACCGUAAUGGUUAAUAGGGAUAGUUGGGGGCAUUAGUAUUCAAUUGUCAGAGGUGAAAUUCUUGGAUUUAUUGAAGACUAACUACCGCGAAAGCAUUUGCCAAGGAUGUUUUCAUUAAUCAAGAACGAAAGUUAGGGGAUCGAAGACGAUCAGAUACCGUCGUAGUCUUAACCAUAAACUAUGCCGACUAGGAAUCAGACGAUGUUAAUUUUUUAAUGACUCGUUUGGCACCUUACGGGAAACCAAAGUGUUUGGGUUC
rnacentral:rRNA from 1 species